AUUGAACGCUGGCGGCAGGCCUAACACAUGCAAGUCGAGCGGAUGAAGGGAGCUUGCUCCUGGAUUCAGCGGCGGACGGGUGAGUAAUGCAUAGGAAUCUGCCUGGUAGUGGGGGAUAACGUCCGGAAACGGGCGCUAAUACCGCAUACGUCCUGAGGGAGAAAGUGGGGGAUCUUCGGACCUCACGCUAUCAGAUGAGCCUAGGUCGGAUUAGCUAGUUGGUGGGGUAAAGGCCUACCAAGGCGACGAUCCGUAACUGGUCUGAGAGGAUGAUCAGUCACACUGGAACUGAGACACGGUCCAGACUCCUACGGGAGGCAGCAGUAGGGAAUAUUCCGCAAUGGGCGAAAGCCUGACGCAGCCACGCCGCGUGAGUGAUGAAGGUCUUCGGAUUGUAAAGCACUUUUAGUAGGGAAGAAGAGCUGUGAAUUUAUACCUGCCUAUUUUGACGUUACCUACAGAGUAAGCACCGGCUAACUUCGUG
rnacentral:rRNA from 1 species